GUGUGGCAGCUCUUGCGAGAGUCAUGAACAGAAGCACCGUGGUGAUUGGGCAGUGGAGAUUACAUAUGCAGAUAGCGAAGAGGAGCCGGUGAGAGAAGAAGCACCUUGGUGACUGGGUAGUGGGGAUUCCAUAUGCAGAUAGGGAGGAAGAGUCUGUGAUGGUUAAGAUGUCCGGAAUUUAAAUCUGGAUCUCCUGUUACAACUCAGACACAGAAAGGUGCUACAUCAUGAUGUUGCAUCAUUACUAGGAGGUUUUUAGAAGGGGGAAUGGUGCCCCGCUCGGGAUGACACUACAUCAUGACAAGGCAUAAUUCCUGGGACACUGUAGAGGAGAAAAAUCAUGGUGGAUUUUCUGCUGCUGCUAAAAGCUCCACCACUGCUGUUGCCAUGACCAAAGAGGCAAUGGAAAAGAAUUAAAGGGGAUGGGGAGGACAGCUGCUACCCACCAAUGGCCUCCACCUGCGCACCCGCCAGAAACUGCUGCGCGGGGGCCUGGAUGUUGGUGUGCGCACCUUAAAGUUUCUAAGCUAACCAUCAACAUCUCCUUCUUGUCGGGAUUA